rnacentral:rRNA from 1 species
GACGAACGCUGGCGGCGUGGAUUAGGCAUGCAAGUCGAACGGUAUCAUCCUUUCGGGGGUGAGAGAGUGGCGAACUGGUGAGUAACACGUAGGUUAUCUACCCUCAAGACGGGGACAACCCAGGGAAACUUGGGCUAAUACCGGAUGUGAGCAACUUUUAGUUGUUUGAAAGGUGGCGUAAGCUGUCGCUUGGGGAUGAGCCUGCGUCCUAUUAGUUAGUUGGUGAGGUAACGGCUCACCUAGGCAAUGAUAGGUAGGCGGCCUUAACGGGUGGUCGCCCACACUGGGAUUGAGAUACGGCCCAGACUCCUACGGGAGGCAGCAGUCGAGAAUAGUCUACAAUGGUCGGAAGACUGAUAGUGCGACGCCGCGUGAGUGAGGAAGGCCCUCGGGUCGUAAAGCUCUGUCAGGUGGGAAGAAAUCGAUGAAGGUGAACAACCUCCAUCCUUGACGGUACCACCAGAGGAAGCACCGGCUAACUCCGUGCCCAGCAGCCCGCGGUAAUCCUAGUCUACG